ACAANCGACUCUCGGCAACGGAUAUCUCGGCUCACGCAUCGAUGAAGAACGUAGCAAAAUGCGAUACUUGGUGUGAAUUGCAGAAUCCCGUGAACCAUCGAGUUUUUGAACGCAAGUUGCGCCCGAAGCCAUUCGGCCGAGGGCACGUCUGCCUGGGCGUCACG
rnacentral:rRNA from 1 species